ensembl:miRNA Mir5626 microRNA 5626
GCCCCAUCGAUUAACUGCUUCCUGUUCUCAUGACCCUGCAGCAAUUGAGUGAUGUGACAC